UACGUAGGGUCCAAGCGUUGUCCGGAUUUAUUGGGCGUAAAGAGCUCGUAGGCGGUUCCGUAAGUCGGAUGUGAAAACUCAGGGCUCAACCCGGAGACGCCAUCUGAUACUGCGGUGACUGGAGUCUGGUAGGGGAACACGGAAUUCCUGGUGUAGCGGUGAAAUGCGCAGAUAUCAGGAGGAACACCGGUGGCGAAGGCGGGUCUCUGGGCCGAUACUGACGCUGAGGAGCGAAAGCGUGGGGAGCGAACAGG
rnacentral:rRNA from 1 species